GCGAAUCGCCCUUCGGGGUGCGCAGGCGCGAAAACUUUACAAUGCGGGAAACCGUGAUAAGGGGACACCGAGUGCCAGCAUCAUAUGCUGGCUGUCCGGGUGUGUAAAAUACACCUGUUAGCAAGGGCCGGGCAAGACCGGUGCCAGCCGCCGCGGUAACACCGGCGGCCCGAGUGGUGAUCGUGAUUAUUGGGUCUAAAGGGUCCGUAGCCGGUUUGGUCAGUCCUCCGGGAAAUCUGAUAGCUUAACUAUUAGGCUUUCGGGGGAUACUGCCAGACUUGGAACCGGGAGAGGUAAGAGGUACUACAGGGGUAGGAGUGAAAUCUUGUAAUCCCUGUGGGACCACCUGUGGCGAAGGCGUCUUACCAGAACGGGUUCGACGGUGAGGGACGAAAGCUGGGGGCACGAACCGGAUUAGAUACCCGGGUAGUCCCAGCCGUAAACGAUGCUCGCUAGGUGUCAGGCAUGGCGCGACCGUGUCUGGUGCCGCAGGGAAGCCGUGAAGCGAGCCACCUGGGAAGUACGGCCGCAAGGCUGAAACUUAAAGGAAUUGGCGGGGGAGCAC
rnacentral:rRNA from 1 species